AUUGAACGCUGGCGGCAGGCCUAACACAUGCAAGUCGAACGGUAACAGGAAGCAGCUUGCUGCUUUGCUGACGAGUGGCGGACGGGUGAGUAAUGUCUGGGAAACUGCCCGAUGGAGGGGGAUAACUACUGGAAACGGUAGCUAAUACCGCAUAACGUCGCAAGACCAAAGAGGGGGACCUUAGGGCCUCUUGCCGUCGGAUGUGCCCAGAUGGGAUUAGCUAGUAGGUGGGGUAACGGCUCACCUAGGCGACGAUCCCUAGCUGGUCUGAGAGGAUGACCAGCCACACUGGAACUGAGACACGGUCCAGACUCCUACGGGAGGCAGCAGUGGGGAAUAUUGCACAAUGGGCGCAAGCCUGAUGCAGCCAUGCCGCGUGUAUGAAGAAGGCCUUCGGGUUGUAAAGUACUUUCAGCGGGGAGGAAGGGAGUAAAGUUAAUACCUUUGCUCAUUGACGUUACCCGCAGAAGAAGCACCGGCUAACUCCGUG
rnacentral:rRNA from 1 species